CAGCCUAAUAAGUCCCACCCUAGAGUCCCUUUAAAAAAAGGCUAAUCCCUGAGUUCAUUGGUGGUUCAGAGGGCAUUGUUUUUCCUCUGUGGUGCUACUGGUUCCCUUCUUGCACUGGAUCAAAGAAGGCGCUGGACUCCGGUAAGUUCUAACCCCUUCAGCAACUUGAGAUAGGGGGUGGGAGGGAGAGGGGCACUGCAAUGGCGUAUAUACCGAGUACCCACCAUCAUCUUUAGCGGCCCUGGCCCAUGCAACAAACUGCCGGGCCCUCCGUCCAAGGGGUCCAUCGGGUGACCCAUGCUGUCAGGGCCACCAGAUGGAUAUGGAUUGUAAGGGGGCCCGGUCAGCGCUGGGCACUUUAAGAGCGCAACCGGGUCCCCUGUGAUUACAUCACACCGAGCUGGGAGGAAGUGACCGCACAUCACUCCUCCCAGCUAACACUGAGAGGUGCGCGGGAGGAAGAACAGGGAGUCAGAGUGGGAACUCUGACUCCCAUCCACCUGAGCCACCACUGGACCCCAUUCACCCUCCUGCACCUAAAAGGUAAGAAACAGGAGGGUGACUUAAAUAUUGUGUGUGUGUGUGUGUGUGGCUGUUUGUAUGUAUGUGUGUCUGUCUGUGUGUGUGUCUGCCUGUAUGUAUGUGUGUCUGCCUGUAUGUAUGUGUGCCUGUUUGUAUGUAUGUCUUUGUAUGUAUCUGUGUUUGUCUGUGUGUGUGUCUGUCUGUGUGUCUGCCUGCCUGUAUGUAUGUAUGUCUGUGCAUUGUGUGUAUAUGUAUGUAUGCAUGCCUGUCUGUAUGUGUGUGUCUGUCUGUCUGUAUGUGUCUGCCUGUGUGUGUGUGUGCCUGUUUUUAUGUAUGUAUGUGUCUGUUUGUAUGUGUGAGUGUGUGUGUCAGUCUGUAUGUGUUUCUGUGUGUGUGCCUGUGUGUGUGUGUGUGUGUCAUUCUGUAUGUGUGUGUGCGUGCAGGUGUGCCUGUCUAUGUCUGUGUGUGUAUCGGUCUGUAUGUAUGUGUCUGUCUGUAUGUAUAUAUGUGUGCCUGUCUGUUUGUAUAUAUAUGUGUGUGUCAGUGUGUAUGUGUGUGUGUGUCUGUGUCUGUCGGGGGGGAAUAGGGAGGGGGCCCACGUAUCAGUUUCGCACCAGGGCCCCAUGGAUUGUGUGUACGCCACUGUCCUGCAGUGCCAGGAAAACAAAUAUGAUUUCCUGGCACUGGAGAAUCCCUUUAAUAAAACGAAACAGCAAGUAUUUGUAUCUGCUAAAGAGAAGGAUUGUUAAUACCAUGGAUUUAUCAUUAACCAGAACCCUCAAUAUGAAUUGAAGUGCAAGGAAAUUAACUUAUAUCAUGUGAUUAUUGCAUAGCAUAAAUAAUUAUUUUUCUUUUAUUAAUUAUAUCUCUAGAUUUUUUUUUUUUGACAUCAUAUUGGGCAUAUUGUAAUCUGGCUUUUUUGUGGCAUUGGCGCAUUAAAAGCUUCUUUCUGGCAACUCGACCAUGCAGCUAAUUUUUGUUAAAGUAUAGUCGUAUUGUGGGCCUUGAAGCAACCACACCGUCGUUUUCCAGAGCAGCCUGUAUUUCUCUUGAGGUUACCUGUGGGUUUUUCUUUGUAUCCCAAACAAUUCUUUUGGCAGUUGUGGGUGAACACUUUCUUGGUCUACCUUACCUUGGUAUCAAGAGAUCCCCGAAUUUUCCACUUCUUAAUAAGUGAUUGAACAGUCUCUACUGGCAUUUUCAAAGCUUAGGAUAUCUUUUUAUUCAAUUACCUUGUCACCUUGUUAUGCCAGUCUUUUCUGCUCCCCAUGGCUCAGUAUCUAGCUUACUCUAUGCAUUUACACGAGAUAAACUCAUUGACUAUUUAUACACAGACACUAAAUGCAAUUUUAAAAGGGUAUGUAAACUUUUGAUCAGGGUCAUUUGGGUGAUUUCUAUAAUAAUUAAAAGGAGCCAAACAACUAUGUGAUAAUAAAGGACUACGUACAGUUGCAAGAAAAAGUAUGUGAACCCUUUGGAAUGAUAUAGAUUUCUGCACAAAUUGGUCAUAAAAUGUGAUCUGAUCAUCAUCUAAGUCACAACAAUAGACAAUCACAGUCUGCUUAAACUAAUAACACACAAGGAAUGAAAUGUUGCCAUGUUUUUAUUGAACACACCAUAUAAACAUUCACAGUGCAGGUGGAAAAAGUAUGUGAACCUCUAGACUAAUGACAUCUCCAAGAGCUAAUUGGAGUGAGAUGUCAGCCAACUGGACUCCAAUCAAUGAGAUGAGAUUGGAGGUGUUGGUUACAGCUGCCCUGCCCUAUAAAAACACACACACCAGUUCUGGGUUUGCUUUUCACAAGAAGCAUUGCCUGAUGUGAAUGAUGCCUUGCACAAAAGAGCUCUCAGAAGACCUACGAUUAAGAAUUGUUGACAUGCAUAAAGCUGGAAGGGUUAUAAAAGUAUCUCCAAAAGCCAAUUUGUCUUACCGUGGACUGAUGAACAGCAAGUUCAUCAGUCCACGGUAAGACAAAUUGUCUAGAAAUGGAGAAAGUUCAGCACUGCUGCUACUCUCCCUAGGAGUGGCCGUCCUGUAAAGAUGACUGCAAGAGCACAGCGCAGACUGCUCAAUGAGGUGAAAAAGAAUCCUAGAGCUUAAGACUUACAAAAAACACUGGCAAAUGCUAACAUCCCUGUUAGCGAAUCUACAAUACAUAAAACACUAAACUAGAAUGGAUUUCAUGAGAGGAUACACCAGAGGAAGCCACUACUGUCCAAACAAAACAUUGAUGCACGUUUACAGUUUGCACAAGAGCACCUGGAUGUUCCACAGCAGUACUGGCAAAAUAUUCUGUGGACAGAUGAAACCAAAGUUGAGUUGUUUGGAAGAAACACACAACACUAUGUGUGGCGAAAAAAAGGCACAGCACACCAACAUCAAAACCUCAUCCCAACUGUGAAGUAUGGUGGUGGGGGCAUCAUGGUUUGGGGCUGCUUUGCUGCGUCAGGGCCUGGACGGAUUGCUAUCAUCGAAGGAAAAAUGAAUUCCCAAGUUUAUCAAGACAUUUUGCAGGAGAACUUAAGGCCAUCUGUCUACCAGCUGAAGCUCAACAAAAGAUGGGUGUUGCAACAGGACAAUGACCCAAAGCAUAGAAGUAAAUCGACAACAGAAUGGCUUAAACAGAAGAAAAUACGCCUUCUGAAGUGGCCCAGUCAGAGUCCUGACCUCAACCCGAUUGAGAUGCUGUGGCAUGACCUCAAGAAAGCGAUUCACACCAGACAUCCCAAGAAUAUUGCUGAACUGAAACAGUUCUGUAAAAAGGAAUGGUCAAGAAUUACUCCUGACCAUUGUGCACGUCUGAUCUGCAACUACAGGAAACGUUCGGUUGAAGUUAUUGCUGCCAAAGAGGUUAAACCAGUUAUUAAAUCUAAGGGUUUGCGUACUUUUCCAACCUGCACUGUGAAUGUUUACAUGUUGUGUUCAAUAAAAACAUGGCAACAUUUCAUUCUUUGUGUGUUAUUAGUUUAAGUAGACUGUGAUUGUCUAUUGUUGUGACUAAAUGAUGAUCAGAUCACAUCUUAUGACCAAUUUGUGCAGAAAUCCAUUUCUUUCCAAAGGGUUCACAUACUUUUUCUUGCAACUGUGUGGUCACCAUCCUUCAAUAAAAAAAAACCUUUGUUUGCAUGAUCAGUCAUAUUUUGAAAAAUCAAUGCCAAAAUUUCACAAAUUCUGCCAGUAUAUGCUAACUUUUUGUAUCACAAGUGUGUAUGGAUCAGUAGGUGUCAAACUUUGUAUUUAGCGCAGCUCUCAGUCAGCAUAAUUCUCAUGUUAUCAUCUAUUAAGAGUACAAUUCAAAUUUCAUUGAACAAACCUCCUAAUGAUAACAGUAUUUUUUUUUAAACAUAAAAAACUUACAAUGCACUGUUCCAAAUUAUUACGCACAGUAAGUUUCAAAACACUUUAUAGGCUGUAAAGAACUGAAAAUUGUCAUUUGUUGUGUUUGCAGCAUAUUUACUGAAAUCAAAAGCUAUUUCAAUCAAACUUAUAACGACAUUUUAACUUUUUAAACAUUUUUACAGGUCACAGGACAUAGUUGACUGGCUAACACAGGACACCCAAUCUUCUACAACUUCCGCUCUGAACCCUGACGCACCAUCCUCCUCCAGCUUAGCUUCGAGCACCUCUCAAGUUACCACUCGCCCGCCUGCUGCCUUCACCAACACCACAGCAGCUUCACUUGGUAUGUCAGAGGAGUUAUUUACACAUCAGUU